rnacentral:rRNA from 1 species
GUUAGGGCCUUCCCAGGCCCGAUCUCCAACCCUAUGUAUAACUACCAUGUUGCUUUGACGGGCCCGUCUUUAACCGGACCUCGGGGGUCUCGACCCCUGGCCUGUGCCCGUCAGUAGCCCGCAUUAAAUCUUUUAACCAUGUUAUAUCUGAAUAAUAGUUAAAUAAACUAAAACUUUCAACAACGGAUCUCUUGGUUCUGGCAUCGAUGAAGAACGCAGCGAAAUGCGAUAAGUAAUGCGAAUUGCAGAAUUCAGUGAGUCAUCGAAUCUUUGAACGCACAUUGCGCCCUUUAGUAUUCUGAAGGGCAUGCCUGUUCGAGCGUCAUUAUCACUAAUCAAGCCCGGCUUGCUGUUGGACCUUGUCGGUUAUCCCGACAGGCCCCAAAAAUAAUGACGGUGUUGAUUGGACCCUAGAUGCAACGAGCUUUCAAUAGCACGCAUUAUAGUGGCCUUUUAACCCGGUCUUUUUUGACCAAUUUCUAAGGUUGACCUCGGAUCAGGUAGGAAUACCCGCUGAACUUAA